rnacentral:rRNA from 1 species
UGGGGAAUAUUGCACAAUGGGCGCAAGCCUGAUGCAGCCAUGCCGCGUGUGUGAAGAAGGCCUUCGGGUUGUAAAGCACUUUCAGCGGGGAGGAAGGCGUUAAGGUUAAUAACCUUGGCGAUUGACGUUACCCGCAGAAGAAGCACCGGCUAACUCCGUGCCAGCAGCCGCGGUAAUACGGAGGGUGCAAGCGUUAAUCGGAAUUACUGGGCGUAAAGCGCACGCAGGCGGUCUGUCAAGUCGGAUGUGAAAUCCCCGGGCUCAACCCGGGAAUUGCAUCUGAUACUGGUCAGCUAGAGUCUUGUAGAGGGGGGUAGAAUUCCAUGUGUAGCGGUGAAAUGCGUAGAGAUGUGGAGGAAUACCGGUGGCGAAGGCGGCCCCCUGGACAAAGACUGACGCUCAGGUGCGAAAGCGUGGGGAGCAAACAGG